CCGCCAGAGAACUACAAGUGAAAAACUUUAAACUCAAAGGACUUGACGGUGUCCCAUAUCGACCUAGAGGAGCCCGUCCUAUAAUCGAUACCCCCCGUUCCACCCAACCUCAGCUAGCAAAAUAUCAGCCUAUAUACCGCCGUCGACAGCCUACCCUAUGAAGGUCUAAUAGUAGACAAAAUAGCCCCCCGCUAAUACGUCAGGUCAAGGUGUAGCAAAUGCUGAGGAAGAGAUUGGCUACAUUUUUUAACAUAAAAAGACGAAAAGUACUAUGAAACCGUCCAUGAAGGUGAAUUUAGUAGUAAAAU
rnacentral:rRNA from 1 species